GACGAACGCUGGCGGCGUGCUUAACACAUGCAAGUCGAGCGGAAAGGCCCCUUCGGGGGUACUCGAGCGGCGAACGGGUGAGUAACACGUGGGUAAUCAACCCUUGACAUCGGGAUACCCCGGGGAAACCCGGAUCAAUACCGGAUAAGGUGCGGAGGCGCAGGCCGCCGUACCAAAGAUAGCUUCGGCUUUCGGUCAAGGACGAGCCCGCGGCCCAUUAGCUUGUUGGUGGGGUAAUGGCCUACCAAGGCGACGAUGGGUAGCUGGUCUGAGAGGACGAUCAGCCACACUGGGACUGAGACACGGCCCAGACUCCUACGGGAGGCAGCAGUGGGGAAUCUUGCGCAAUGGGCGGAAGCCUGACGCAGCAACGCCGCGUGCGGGAAGAAGGCCUUAGGGUCGUAAACCGCUUUCAGGGGGGACGAAGCUUCCGGGGUUAAUAGCCUACGGGGUGACGGUACUCCCAAAAGAAGGUCCGGCUAACUACGUG
rnacentral:rRNA from 1 species